GGAAACGACUGCUAAUACCCCAUAUGCCUACGGGUGAAACGGUGAAUUCCGCCUGAAGAUGAACUCGCGUCAGAUUAGCUAGUUGGUGGGGUAAGGGCCUACCAAGGCGACGAUCUGUAGCUGGUCUGAGAGGACGAUCAGCCACACUGGGACUGAGACACGGCCCAGACUCCUACGGGAGGCAGCAGUGGGGAAUUUUCCGCAAUGGGCGAAAGCCUGACGGAGCAACGCCGCGUGCGGGAUGACGGCCUGUGGGUUGUAAACCGCUUUUCUCAGGGAAGAAGAUCUGACGGUACCUGAGGAAUCAGCAUCGGCUAACUCCGUGCCAGCAGCCGCGGUAAUACGGAGGAUGCAAGCGUUAUCCGGAAUUAUUGGGCGUAAAGCGUCCGCAGGCGGCUUAUCAAGUCUGCUGUUAAAUGUCGGGGCUCAACUCCGAUUUGGCAGUGGAAACUGAUAGGCUAGAGUACGGUAGGGGUAGAGGGAAUUCCCAGUGUAGCGGUGAAAUGCGUAGAUAUUGGGAAGAACACCAGUGGCGAAGGCGCUCUACUGGGCCGUAACUGACGCUGAGGGACGAAAGCU
rnacentral:rRNA from 1 species